rnacentral:tRNA from 1 species
CAUUAAGAAGCUAUGUACCAGCACUAGCCUUUUAAGCUAGACAAAGAGGGGAACCCCCUCCUUAAUGA